ACACAAAUUCAUCUUUUCCCACAUGUUAAAUGAUCUAAUAAUACAAGUAUAGGAGGAGGACUCCAGACCUACAAAGUUUCAACAACCUAGUUAUUAAUUAAAAUUAAAAUUAAAAGCAAAUACAUAGUUUAGUGAACAAAGCUUGAACCUUGUUGUCAAUUUGCUGCAGAAAGCUUAUAAGUGCUACUGAAAGCUUUGUUCACUGUCUCUACAAGCAUCUGCUGUGAUUCAAUUAUCAUUUCCAUUCUCUUCUUCUCCAUUUCCAAUCUGUACCUCUCUACAUCUCUUAUCAUCUCAAUCUUCUUAUUCUCCAUCUUUACAAACUUCUCGGCAAAACCCUUUAUUUCUACCGCCAAUUGCGCUGCCACCCCUUCUUCUUCUUCUUCUUCGCCGCCAUUCUCCUCCUCCUCAUCCGCAUUCUCCUCCUGAUAAAACGCCUUAUGUUUGUGAACCACCGGAGUCCUCAACCCCCGAACAAUCCUGCUUCCACCUUCAGUAAAUCGCAGAUUUCUAGUUAAAUACCCGUUAGGGACAUGAUGACUACGGUUCUGAUUCUUAGUCCUGCUGCUGCUUCUCUUGUUAACGCGAUAUUCACCAUCAUCGUUCUCCUCCUCGUCGUUGUCGUCUUCAACAUUUUUCCGCUUUUUCCCAUUUGAACUACUCGGUUUUUGGUACUCCACCAAUGCCAUAGACUGCGAAGAUGACGAAAUCGGCAACGGCCCUUUCUCCAAAUUCUCCAUAAGUUUAAAAAAAUUCCAAGCAGUCGCUUUGGACCGAGGUUUACCCCGCUCCGCACGGUAACGUUUACGCAGCUUUUCAAGCUUGUGACGACAUUGUUUCGACGUCUUCGUAGGCUCAUCAUAUCCGCAACGCGCAGCCACCGUGAUGGCUACUUCCUCCCACUGUCCAGCCUUCAAAGGUCCUUUUUUCAAAGAGUACCAUUUUUCUUGAUAAGCUUGAAUCAAGUUUGCAGUUUCCUGGUGAGUCCAUGGUGAGAUUUGUGGUUUAAUAUUAUUAAUUGGUGAAGAACUGGCUGCCACGUGGAUAAGUGGUACUCCUAAUGGUGGUGUUACGGUGGUGAUGGGUGAUCCGGUUGUUAACGGUGGUGACGGAGAGGGGUUUUUGGGUGAUUGAUUUGGUUUAGGGCUAGGGUUUGUUUCGAUAUUUGCAGGUGAAGAUGGAGAUUCAUGAUCUAAAUCAGGGUUAGGGUUUUCAUGAAAAUUAGGGCUUUGGAUAGGAUCGUCGGGUGUUGAUGAUGGCGGUUGCUUUGAAAGAGGAGAUUCGUGAUCUGACGUAGGGUUAGGGUUUGUCGUAUGAUAAUCAGGAGUUUCCGUCGGUGGUGUUAACGGUGACGGUGAUGGCUGUUGCUUAUGUUCAUGGUUAGGGCUAAAGUUUUCCGGUGGUUGUUCGGUUUCUGUCGGUGGCGGUUGAUGGCGGUCGGGAGAGUUUUCCGGUGGCGAAGAAGGCAAUAUUGAGUUUGUGAAUUGGUGGUGGUGGUCUAGGUAUUCAAUUGGUAAGGGCGGAAGCGGAGGUUCCUGGUGGCCUUGAAGGUGUUCCGGCGGAG
rnacentral:lncRNA from 1 species